AAAGCGGAUUAUUUUAGCCGGGGGGAAACCAAAAAAAAUUCUCGACGUCUCCCUUGUCGUGAUGGGAGGAGAGAGGGGUGGCUGCGCUUCUUCUUAUUCCUCCUCUUCUUCUCAACCCCGAGUGAUGAUGAUGAUGAGGAUGCAGCUCGGCGUUCUCCUGUCAGUUGGGCGAGGCUGGUGCGCAUGCGCGACCUCACCUAUUUCUACCCGUCCCUCACCUUUUUUCCCCCUCUAAGUCUCCACUCUCCUCUCCUCUCCUCUUAGUCUCCACUAUCUCCUCUUAGUCUCCCCUGGAAGCUAAAAGAGGACGAGACAGAAACGCACGUUACUUAUCCAUGGCCAAGUAACAGAAAUGCGUAUUUGGGAGUAGCUAACAAAAAGCAACGUUGACGUCGAGAAAACUGGUCGCGGGGGGCGCUGGCGCUUAUCUCAGCUACAAUCGGGCGGAAGGCGGGGUACACCCUGGACAAGUCGCCACCUCAUCGCAGGGCCAACACAGAUAUUUGAAAAAGUACUUUAGAGUUACAAUGCAUGCAGAGAUGAAAUUUGUGUCAUUUUGUGUUUUACACUACAGUAUCUGUUCAGACAGUAAGCAGCAGCAGCAGCACAUUUACUGCUGAGAGACAGACUCAACAUGCAGAUACAGUCGGGUCUGCAGCUGUCGUACCAUCACUUGACGUUUCCACUCAGCGAUGGGCCGUCCAGUUUCAUCGUGAGUAGGCACCAGGGACUCAAUGUCGGACAGAAUCACGUCGACAACUGGUCCCCCUUCUAGACACUCCUCACUGUCAAGUUUCUGCAAGAAGAUCAGGGUUCAACUAGAUGCAUCAUUAGUGAUUGUGUGCAGAUUAUCUUUCGUCUCAUGGCCUGGAUGUUGGAUUCUCACAUCCUGGUUUAGAUUCUCUCUCAGGGAAAUCCUCAUACAACAUACCUGCAUUAUCAGCCUACCUUUUUAAGGUGGCAUAAUCUCAGAGGCUCUAAUGACUUGGACUGGAGGCUCAAACACCUUUGCAGAACACCUGCUACUGACCCAAAACAAUAGUGAAGAGUCGACUGACCUGUUGUCCGGUGAAGACGGCCGUGAUGCCAGCCUGUUUCAGGGACUUGAUUGAUUUCAUGUGGUACAUCAGAUUGAGAUCUCUCUCUGGAGGCUUUACCUGGUUGAACGAAGUCACCACUAGAAACAUAAUACAUCACAAAAUGUCUGGUAAAUGUCCUGAAGGAGGUUAUACAUCUUUAAGAAAUUGCGUGUUAACACUGCUAAGAAAAGCUGAAACUCCAAAGGAUGAAACAGACAUCAUAGGAUAUUGUAGCAAAUAAUACCCCCUAGUGGCAUUUAGCAUCUGAUUAGAUGCUUACCAACGUAAAAUGGUCAUUCAGCAAUGUCAGGGCAUGAUUGAAGCAUUUUCUUUUCACUGAUUUUUGUUUCACCAUUAUAAUAUUAAUAUUAGGGCUGUCAAAGUUAACGUGAUAAUAACGCGGUAACUAUACAUUUCAAUAACGACACCAUUUUUUUAAAUGGGCGAUUAACGAGAACACUUCAUUUAAAACCAGCAAUGUCACAACGUGACGACAGAGUGCCGUUAUGCCCAAAAAUAAAAAUUAAAAAAGGGGUAUUUCAUUGGCAGUAUAGUACCAUUUUUAAUUCAUUAGUACCGAUAUACCUUAGGACUACAGCCCUAAUAUAUAGUCCUUUGAGACAUUUGUGAUUUGGGGCUAUAUAAAUAAACAUUGAUUGAUAUAUGAAUAUUUGCUGAAUUUCCUUUUGUACUUUCGUAAAUUGAAAAGGAAAAAUAUGUAUAUAUCGCUUUUCUCUAGAGACUCAAAGUUACAUUUAAACCAGUGAUGCCAGUACUACUUUCUCUAAAGAUCGAGUAUCAUAUGUAAUACAUUUUGACUAAUAAAAUGUGUUUUUUUUGUUUUGUUAUAGGGCUGGGCGAUAUUGGCUUUUAUUAAUAUCACGAUAUUUUUAUGCCAUAUUGCAAUAUACGAUAUAUAUUACGAUAUUUUGCCUUGCCCUUAAAUGAACACUUGAUGCAUAUAAUCACAGCAGUAUGAUGAUUCUAUGUGUUUACAUUAAAACAUUCUUCUUCAUACUGCAUUAAUAUACAGUAUGCUACUUUUAAACUUUCAUGCAGAGAGGGAAAUUACAACUAAGUCAAUUGACCAAAACUGUUUUCAUUAAAUACUCUUCAUUCUCUCACGGGUGACUUUUUAAAUGAAAGAACAAAAUAAUAGUGUUGCUACCUUUUUGUAGUAACACUUCUGCUGCAUACUUUGCAUUGAUUGAUUGAGACUUUUAUUAGUAGAUUGCACAGUUCAGUACAUAUUCUGUACAAUUGACCACUAAAUGGUAACACCCCAAUAAGUUUUUCAACUUGUUUAAGUCGGGGUCCAUGUUAUUCAAUUCAUGGUACAAAUAUACUGUAUACUAUCAGCAUACAGUAUUUAAUCAUCACACAGGUUAAUCAUCAUAGUAUAUACAUUGAACAUCAUAUUGCUGUUGUCUGCUGAAUAUCUUCCCACUUGAAGCCAAACCACCGCCAGAUGAUGGACCCCCAGCUAUUUAUGUUGGGCAUUUAUUGUUCUUCCUCUAUUUGUGAUAAGUUUCGCACCAUCUCUCUUUCUCUGAUCGGCGAGAGCUAUGACGCUAGACUCGCGAGAGUAUGUGACGUAUGUAAGAAGGCGGGCUUGUUUUCCGUAUCUGUCAGAAUGAGAGACGAGGAGUGAGAGAGAAACCCCUGUUGUGUGAUGCCUGCAGCUAAAAGCAACUCGACCUGCCUCAGCUAACGUUUCAGCUAACGUUAGCUUUCGGCGACAGUAUGUGACGUAUGUAAGAAGGCGGGCUUAUUUUACGUCUCUGUGAGAAGGACAGACGAGAAGGAGUGAGACACGCCAGUAAUGUAAUGCACGCAGCUUAAAGCAACGGUGUGAGAACAUAUAAUCGAAUAUUACGAUAUAGUCAUUUUCUAUAUCGCACAGAGAUAAACCUGCGCUAUAUCGUAUAUAUCGAUAUAUCGCCCAGCCCUAUUUUGUUAUCUCACCAAACCAAUGUUGUUGUACACCUGACUAUAAACGAAAGCACAUAUGCAGAUUCAGUGAUGGACAUGUUGUACAUGCUAACCAAUACCUGAGGAGGCCAUUUGUAUUUGCUGCAUUGAGCCUGAUGUUUGUCUGGAUGAGGAGGUCUUUGGGAGUCGAGGCAGAGAGAUCACCUCUGCCUUUUACCACUGUGUUACAUGGCCUUUCCUUUUAACAACACUCAGUAAACGUUUGGGAACUGAUGACACCAAUUUGUGAAGCUUUUCAGGUGGAAUUCUUUCCCAUUCUUGCUUGAUGUACAGCUUAAUUUGUUCAACAGUCCGUGGACUCCUUUGUGUUAUUUUACGCUUCAUAUUGCGCCACACAUUUUCAAUGGAAGACAGGUCUGGACUACAGUCAGGCCAGUCUAGUACCCGGACUCUUUUACUAUGAAGCCAUUGUGUUGUAACAUAUGGCUAGGCAUUGACUUGCUGAAAUAAGCAGGGGCGUCCAUGAUACAAUUUUUUUUUUGUUUGUUUUGUUUUUUCACUAAUUAAAAGUUGCUGUUCACCCGACUAUAACCGAAAGCACUUAUGCAGAUUCAGUGGUGGACAUUUUGUACAUGCUAACCAAUACCUGAGGAGGCCAUUUGUAUUUGCUGCAAGGAGUCUGAUGUUUGUCUUGUUGGAGCAUUAGACAGAGUCACAGAGGAGGAGGAGGAGGAGGUCUUAGGGAGUCGAGGCAGAGGGAGCACCUCCUUCACUGGCUGCUGGGAGCAUCGUUGACAACAUUUAAAGCGACAUAGCACAAAAAUGUCCUCCAUUCUGUAUUGACGAAAUAAACAUACAAUAAUGUGGACAAAAGUAUUGGGACACCGGCCUAAUGGUUCACCAUCCCUAAGGUUUUCUUCCCAAAAUUGUUCAAAAUGUCUUGGUCAGAUGAAUAAUUGAGAUCAUGGGUCUUUAAUUAAUCAAUAUGUGCGUCUCAAUACUCUAUGUCCACUAUCACGUGUGUUCAGAUAUUACAUAUUUCAGCAUCACUUUGCUGUUCUCCAUGUCGGUCCCGCUCCUUCACUUGUGUCUCAAAAGCAGCAGACCGUUGACCUUCUUUCCUUUGAGAAGAGAAACCAGAUAAAGCGAGCCCUCACACAGAGGAUCUCUGAAUAGAGGACAGGUAAUCAAGCCUCUCUGUGACACUCUCACACACAGCGAGAUGCUUAAUGCAAAGAACAAUGGCCGCUGUGGCAGGCUGAAGCAGAAGGCGGUGAAACGUGACCCUGCCCCUGGAAGUGUUGCACGCCACACAGAGUGCGGGAGAAAGCUUGUGAAGAGUUUGUGGAGACGUGAUAGCCUGCUGCAAGUAACCCUAUUGCUUUGAAGGAGUCCACUAACCGCAUCGUUAAACCGCACAUUGUUGAGAACAUUUGUCCUGCCGAGCAGGUUCAACUGGCCGUGGAAGACUUGACUAUAGCUGCAGGUUUUUUAACUAACACAUUUGCCCCCAAUACAAAUACUUAGGGCUAACUCAAUAAACCUGAUGGGAAUGUUAAAUCCCUGUUUGUUUUAUUGUAGAAUAACACACUUUUUAUUCGUGAAAUGCUAUGCAUGGAUGGGAUUUUGUUUAUCACUGGAUUGUAUCUUUUCUAUAUUAAAUAGAUGUUAUUCUAUCUAAUAGAAUUUCUAGCAUAUGUGUCCUUAAGUUUUUAGAAAUAAAGUAUUAUUGUUAUUGAUGAUUAUUAUUAAUUUGAAUGCACAGUUGGGAUUUUAUUUACCACUUGAUUUUAAAAUUUCUGUAUUUUAAUAUUACACGUUAUUCUUUUAAACCUAUGUGUUCUUUGUUAUUUUUAAAUAAAGUAUAUAUCUGUUAGUAUUAAUAUUAAUUUGUAUGCAGA